UCCGGUUUGUCACCGGCAGUCUCGCAUGAGUCCCCAACUAAAUGCUGGCAACAUGCGACAGGGGUUGCGCUUGUUGCGGGACUUAACCCAACAUCUCACGGCACGAGCUGACGACAGCCAUGCAGCAUCUGUGCGCGCUCCCUUGCGGGUCAUCCCCCUUUCGGAGUCUUACCACGCGCAUGUCAAGCCCAGGUAAGGUUCUUCGCGUUGCGUCGAAUUAAACCACACGCUCCGCUGCUUGUGCGGGCCCCCGUCAAUUCCUUUGAGUUUUAGCCUUGCGGCCGUAGUCCCCAGGCGGCGCACUUAUCGCGUUAGCUGCGGCACCGAGGGGGUCGAUACCCCCGACACCUGGUGCGCAUCGUUUACGGCGUGGACUAC
rnacentral:misc_RNA from 1 species